rnacentral:rRNA from 1 species
AUUGAACGCUGGCGGAAUGCUUUACACAUGCAAGUCGAACGAUGAAGCCUAGCUUGCUAGGUCGAUUAGUGGCGAACGGGUGAGUAAUAUAUCGGAACGUAUCCAAUAAUGGGGGAUCACUAGUCGAAAGAUUGGCUAAUACCGCAUACGUCCUACGGGAGAAAGCUGGGGAUCGUAAGACCUGGCGUUAAUGGAGCGGCCGAUAUCUGAUGAGCUAGUUGGCGGGGUAAAGGCUCACCAAGGCGACGAUCAGUAGCUAGUCUGAGAGGACGACAAGCCACGGUGGAACGGAGACACGGUGCAGUCUGCUACGGGAGGCAGCAGUGGGGAAUUUUGGACAAUGGGCGAAAGCCUGAUCCAGCCAUUCCGCGUUAGUGAAGAAGGCCUUCGGGUUGUAAAGCUCUUUCGCAAGGGAAGAACACUUACUUAAUAACACUAAGUGAUGUUGACGGUACCUUGAUAAGAAGCACCGGCUAACUACGUGCCAGCCGCCGCAGUAAAAC